rnacentral:misc_RNA from 1 species
UUGGUGCAUGCCUGCUCUCGGGCCCCCUCUUACUCCUUCUCCUUGUUCUCUUCGCAGGCGACCUACAGCAGGGACGACAUACUCGUCUCGCCUGCAUCGCCCUUCAUACCUUCCUCUGAUUUUCCUUCCGUAGCAGCAUCACAGCCACACACGCCCACACACAGAGAUAGCACAAUGACUAUGCGCACGGCGUCUUCAACUACAUCCGGUAGCGACUUUUCUAACUCCUGUGAUGAGGGGAGCAUCCUGGAGGUCGAAGCCCUUGAAGAGCGCGCCGAGCUCGCGGACACAGGGAGGCACUUGCCUGCGCCAGCCCUCCGCGGCGGCGUCACGGUAGGAGGCGCCCGCCACAGCUCUGCGGCGGUGCUAAGCGGUGCUGCGGGCGCUCCUCUUGGUGAAGCCUUCGAUGGCCGCCGUCACUCCAGAGACCAGCGUCAAUUAUCUGCCCCUCAUCAGCAGCGGCUGCUUCCUGUGCCGCCUUCCCAGCGCCCCGAACGCGGCGAUGAUUUCAUGGGCACGGGCCGAGACGUCGGCUUCAACGACAGUUUCGACGGCUUUCCAUUAUAUGUGGACGAAGACGGUGUCAUGAAGGUGUCUGGACACCGCCGGCGCGACCCAUUUGCCUUUGGCUACGAUGCUGUUGAGGAGGCCGACUUGGCCACAGACGGCGCUCGCGGGGGCGGUGGUCGCAGAAACUCCUACCAUGGCGGCUCUGGCGCCGCGUUCGGCUCGUCUUCCGGCACGUCUGAUGGUGCGUUUGUGUCCGGCAGCUCCUCGUAUUCUUCCUCCCUUUACGAGGAGCACUACGAACCUUCCCAUCAACAGCGGGGCCGAGCCUCUGUCCAUGGGCACCGGCACAGCGCCGAUACGAAUGUGGCUGCCAGAUAUGGAUACACACCCCUUGAGAUGCACUACGCUGGCGGCGCUGGCGUUGUCGCAACGUACGAUGACGACGGCGCGCCGGUGCCCAUCGACGCGGCGCUGCCCAGCCACCACCACAUCGCGUCACGGCGUCGCCGCCUCGUUGGGGCUGCCUCCAGCGCGCAAGCACGGGUUCACAACGCAAAGCGGCGUCGCUCCAGUCGCAAGAAAGGCAAGCGCACUCGACGUCGUGGCACUCGCGGCGGGCAACUUGAAAGGAGGAACACCAACGCAACAGCCACCUCGCACUCACCCGCUGGCCGCCACGGAAGCCACAGUGGAGCGCACAGUUCAAGUCGCUUACCAACCCGUCUGUCAGGCAGCAGCCCCGUUCUGCUCGGCACGAAUCCGUUGCUGAACAUCGGCGGCGUGAAUGUUGCGGCGACCGCCAGUGCCGCUGCGGCCGCCGCUAUCCAUGGCGGCCUCAGCUCCCUUCUCUCCGCCGGUGCUUCGAUCAACGUCGGGCCCUCCGAGGCGGAGAAGGUGGUGCGAAUGCGCGAGCACCUGCUAGCGCGCGAGGCGGCGGUGAAGAAGCGAUAUUCAGCGGUUCGCCGCGGCUCUGCCGGGACCGCAAGCACUGGCGCGACUGUCGGCAGCGACAGAGGCGCAUGGAAGACAGCGGCGGCAGACACCUUGCGCGUGUUAGCCUCCUCUCGCACAGGUGACGGCGCUGGCAGGGCCGCAACUAGUAGCGGUGCCCUCGCCUCACAGCACACUCGCGGCGCGGAGCCAUUCAGCCCACUGUCGAUGUCUCUGAAGGACUUGAAUCGGAGCAUCGGGCUGAACACGGGAAAGGCGGGGCCGGGGUCAGCCUUUGCGUUGGCAACGCUACGCUCUGCCCGCUUGCGCUCCAAGGACGCCGCCACGCAACUGCAGGCGGUGACGACGACAGGGGAGUCCGUGUAUGUGCGAGAAGACCCCGCCUCUGCCGCUGCCGCAAGAGCGCGGGGUAGCGAUGGCAGGGGUAUUUCUGGCGACGACGGUGCACCCGGCGCGAUGCAUGGCACAGCACUUGCUGCGGGGACGGCAACACAUUUUGAACAGCGUAUGAUGACGCUGCGCGACCCCUACACGGGCCUCGCCAUCGCCUCAGCUUACACGCCACUGAUAACCAGGGCGGAGGCGGCGGUGGCAGUGCACACGUGCGCGGCUGGAAUUCAGUUCUUUCGAGAUCCGACGGCGCCUCGGCCAUCCGCAGUAGCGUUUCUGCCGUCGACUUCCUCGGCCUUGCCCGCUACACCCUCUCGGCUUUUGUCCACCGCCUACGUGCUGGAUGUUGGUAAUCCGCCGCUGGCACCUACGCCUGCAGGAAUCGCAACCGUGCCUGACGAAGGAUCGCUGCGUGCAUCCUUCGGUGCACCGUACACAUCGACAACUCCGCACACGACCAUAUCUGCAAAUCCCUCAACCACGUCGCUGUCGCCGCAAAAGCUGCAUAAUCGCGACGGCGUGGCGCGAGUGUACAAGGCGGCGACGGCGGCGGGUGACUCGGCUCAGGUGAGGCGGUGCCCGCCCACCGAGGCGGAUCGCUUUUGCGACGUGCGCCCUCGUCUCACCGCUCGUGACGAAAACGCUAACGCAGGGGCGCCGCCCACAGUGGCGAGCAGCGGAAAUGGUGGCGCGGCGUUGUCGGGUGUGAGCGGCCUCCGCGGCUCGGGCCAGUACACGGCGACGCCACUCAGUUCCGGUGACUGCGCGCGCUCCUGGUGGAGAUUGCAAAGCGGCGGGGCCGCUGCUGCCGGCGGCUACAGCAGUGCGGCAGCGCCUGCAGCAGCGGCAGAUAUUUCGGACAGCAGCGACCUUUUUCCGUGGCGUUGGCGCGGCAGAGCAUCUGCAUUCGAUAUGGGCGGCGGAGAGGUCCAAGACGGAGUCCCGAUCGCCGCUGCAUGGCAGGAUGAGGCGGUGCGCGGAUGUUACGGCGUAUGGCCCGCGGUUGUUCACAUGCGUGGAGCUGCCGACGAGUACGGCGUUAGCCUUCCCCCGGCCGGCACGUCGAGCAGCGCCUCCGCCGCCAUGCCGCCCUUCUUCGCAUGGCCGCACCCUGCACCGCAGCUGCCCGCGUACCCGCCCUCUAUCGCCCCCUACGCGGCACCGCUCCAUCCUCAACAAAACACCCGCUAUCAUGCCUGGACAGCUGAGGGCGUGUCGGCGACGUCGAACACCUCGUGCGUGGUGCACGUCUUCACUGUCUCGCGGGAGAUGCUGCGCAGCGUGUACGAGUACGUCGCGUACAUGUGUGUAGCGAAGCGACAUGCAGAGCUGCAGCGUCGGCGCAGAAUACGCGAAGAGCACCUUAGCAAAGAACUUGCCGCCGGUAGGCUGACGCGCGAUGCCCAGCGGUACCUGCGCUGCCCCCAUUGUGGUGUAGUCGGGAAGGUAGUAAGAAGCUCUGCCGCGCGAGGUGAAAGUGAGGCUAUGCCGUCAAACCCUUUGCUAUCUUCAACACCGGCCCAAUCGCAGCAUCUGCGUCACGACAGGAAGCACCACCAUCACCACCAUAACCCCCAUCAUUCAAGCGCGUCGCGCGAUCCCCCGCUGGUCUCGGCCACCAGCACACCACAGCCGUCGCUCUUUCUGCAAAGUAGUGCGCCAACAGCGAAUGGCUCCUUAGAGUUGCCGUUAGCACAGCAGCAGCACACGGAGAGGUUUGGAUGGUCGGCGGCGAAAUCGCCAUCGCCGCGGCCGACACCUCUGCCCCCGCAGCCGCCACGGCGCUCGGUUUUUGGGAUGGGUAGUGCGACCCAAGGCGGUAGCCGUGUCGCGGUCGAAAACACCAACGUUAAAGUUGACGAGUGCGCGAACGCGCAUCGCGCCGUGGUCGUCGACGAGGUAGGCGAUGCCUUAGCAACGCUCCCGGCGUCUGCGGUGCUACAGUCGCCAGCCACUGCACUAGUUUCGCGGGUGGCAUGCGCACCAUUGACGAGGGGUGGCAGUGGCACAUCCGGGCCGUCCCCAGCGCUCCCGUCCUUGCCGCAGUCUGCCUCGCUUCCGCCGCUGCGACUGCAGCCGCAGAAAAGGCUUCAAGAAGCGGAUCGCUCGUCACAGGAGUCGAACAACAUCUGGUCGACGUCGGCGCUUCAGCUGUCCAGCGUCGGGGCGGCGCUGCCGUUGUCUUCUCCGAGUCCGUCGCCACAGCAGCCACUUUUGACUCCUACUGUGGGCGCCAUGGCAGCACCGGCGCCUGCAAAGCUGCACACCUCUCCGCGUGUCCCCGGCACGAAAGGGGCGGCGCUGGCCGGGACCACCAACAGCAGCGACACCCGCGUCGAGGCGCUUCUAGACACGCUGGUAGUGAGCGGCGAGCUCUCGCAGUCUCUUCACAUGAAUUCGCAGUCGUACGAGGCAGGCGCGCAGGCGGCCUUUGAUCGAUACGCCGGCGCUUCAGGUAACGAGCUGCUUGCACUACGGCAGCAGCCACCGACCACCGUACUGGCACGCGGCGCACACGAGGCGCGCCUUCUCGACGAGUCCACCACAGCUCUGUCGCCUCGAAAAACUGCUGAGGAGCGCGGCCAUGCCACUAGUGGGGAUGCUGCCGUGCAACGGUCGUCUUCAUGUGCGGCGGUCGCGAACAGCAACAGCAACAGCCACAGCCUCCGCGUCGGCGGUAUCGACAGCGACGCCGAGGAUGGACGGCUGGGGCUGGCCGGCUCUGUGGCGCAUCACACGUCAGGAUCGACGGCCUCGCAUCCAUUCACCAUACCAACGGCCACCUCACCGGACCGCUCCAUGCUGAUGGUGCCCACAGGCACACGCGACACCACGGCUACGCACGAUACAACGGCAGCGCUGUGGGCGCUGGUGGCAUCUGCUGAUUCUUCCGCGCCAAAGUGUGCGCCUCCUACUGCGACGAGUGCGGCGGCCACCACCGCGGCCGCCGUCACGACGGCCCUCAACGCAGAAGUGAGGGUCAUGGGCAGCAGCUCGAGGAGCAACCCCAACCCCAACAACAUGAGCGGCACCAACUCGCUCUUAUGCCCGAUGGCGGGAUCAACCCUGACGCCGGCGGUGCCGACUCUGGCGCGCUCGCCGACGCCGCUGCAGAGCCAAGCAGGCGAAGACGAUGGGGAUAACCCUGCUGUAGCGCAGCGCUGGUUCGACACGAACGCUGACGAAACGGCACGAGACCACGAUCUCAGCGGCGGCGCGUCUUACGUGUGCCUCGGCUGCCACCGCGACGUGAUACCAAAACAGCCGUUGCUGACGUCGAUCAGCGACCAUAGCUCGUUGCACCGCCGUUCCCAGCACGCUCAUCACUCAGCUGCACGACACAGUAACCACAGGAACAACAACACCAACAGCGGUGGCGGUGAUGACAGCGUGGAAGACGAUAGGACCGAGCAGACUGUGGGUGCGGACAUCGGAGUAAUGGCGUUCGAAGACCUCCUGCAGGAUGACGCGUUCACGUAUGCGUUGCACAACGCCUUGUGCGAGCUGCUCAUGAUGCCGUCAACGCGAGAGCCACCACCGCCGUUGCCAACGGCGUCGCACAAGAGAAGUCGAAAAAGGUCACCAAGAACGUCGGCGGCGCGCGCGGACCUGAAUGGCUUCCUCCAUCCCGUUUUACCGAGUGCACCCGUGCACCAAACCGGCGCACUUCUGCAGCACUCGUCGGAGGAUACAGCUAUAGCGGUGACCGACGCCAAAGGUGAGGUGCGCAGAGUUGCUGCGAUGGAUGUGGGUGCCCUUUCGUGUCUCUCACCCGGUGUGCCGCAUCAGCAGUGCCUAGAGGCGAUGGGAGGCGGCGGCGCGGUCUCUUUCGAAAGUAUCGGCAGCUGGAUCGGUGACGACGAAAACGAGCUCACGCAGCAGCAACGCGAACCACCCACGUCCCCACUUUCCAUUUCAGCUGCACCGUCAUCUUCAUCCACGCCGUCCAUGUCAACGUCCUUAGAAAGCUCGUCGGCGGCAGCGGUCAGGGAGGGCGGCGGCUGCUCGGCCGCUUCUUCGCCCAUUCGCCUUUCGCUCGCGUGCUGCGGGCUGACAGUGAGUGUGCUGCCGUACGUGGAGCCGCAAGUGCCCUCUGCGGCGACGCAAGAACACUCCAGUGACAGCGGCAUCCAGCGCCGAGGAACAACGGAGAAGCGCCUGAUGCGGGCGAGGAAUGCAAUCAGGAAAACCAUCGGCAUCGCGCGCCUACCACGGCAACGCUUUGGCACACCGGCGCCGCUUUCUCGGCCAGUGAUCCCGCGCAUGCGCGAGGACGCGGCGACACGGGGGCUGACGCCAUCCACGAUGCUCAUGAGCGACGUUGCCGCCUCUCACCGCCGUUGCAGGCGCAGCUGCAGCAAGCAGCGGCAAGGGCCGCGCAUCCAUCGCGACACGCCACCGCGCCAGCGGCGGCGCAGCAGCUCGAGCACUGGAGCGCCAAGGCUCACUUCUAUGGAAAGUCCACCCAAUGGCCCCGUGAUGCACAGCGCGGCGGCGUCGAAGGCGCUCAUAAUGAAGGGCACGUUCAGCAGUGAGAAGCACCGCAUCCAAGUAAACCCACGCACCCCGCUGGACGCCGUGAGCAAAAAUCGUAUCAUGAAGCGCAUCUUCCGCCAAGACCGGCUUGGCAGCAGGAGCGACACCACGGCCGCCGCAGUCGCCCGCUCAUCGGAGACUGAGAAGCGCUAUGGCAAGGGCUUAGAUCCUGUUGCUGCUGCUGCUGCUGCUGCGGUGAACAGACGAGAUGGUGCUGGGUCUGCAGCAGGCGUAUCAGUCAGCGCGCGGGGCUCUGAUAUGCGCAAGCAGCGCUGCCUCCGCCACCACCGCCGUUCCUACACACAAGAGCUAGCCCAGCAGCAUGCUCAGCUGCUCUUGCCUCCUGGCCGUGUCCCCAAGCCACUCGGGCUCGAUCUAGGCGUGUAUGAAGACUCCAGCCUUGUACUCGAGAUCGAUCUCGCGUACCCGCGGCUGCCUCGCGGCAACGUGCGGGAGCUUCUUGCGGAGUGGAAGGACACCUGUCAACCUCACCCUGUUUUAGUGGAAGCGGUUAUCCGCAACAUCGUGUACGCUGUGCUGGUGCAGCUGUCUGCCCUGCACGCUGCCGGCCGUACGCACGGGAGUGUCAAGUCGACCAACGUUUUUCCGCUAUGGCAUGCCAUGGAGGGCACGCGAGAGUCGGGGCUCAUGAUGCCGCCGCGGCCACGCCAGCGCCCAACGUCCCCAUCCCCGCUCGCGGUGGCGCGCGUGAAAUCUGAGGCAGAAUCGAUGCAGGAACGCGGGAGGAAGGCGGAGGCAACGGUAAAGAAUGAAGAGGAAGGUGAGCGUCGGCGAAGCGCCUCCAAUGCUGAGGGCGUGGGCGCCUGUGAGCCGGGUGGUGCAUCGGCUGCUGCGCCGCCAGCGACAGAUCAAGCCGCACCAGUGCCACAGCGGUGUACCUCCGAAAAGUCCACCUCACCCACCAAUCCUCGCUCCCUCUCCAAUCGACGACGACAUCUGGCGCCACACACGGCGGUAGCGCAUCUCAGACUCUAUCAAAAGACGCGCUCCCGAAACCGCGGGGCACAGAGCAGAAUCAAUCCUGCUCACGGAUUUGGCGCGGCUCGUGGCACACCAAGUGCGGCAAAGGGCUCUGCAUCAGCAGCGCUGCCAGGAAGGUCUUGUGCUCCCACUGCAAACGCAUCCUCUACCGGGCUGUCGACCGUUAUGGCUGAUUACCGCCACAGCAGUUUCAGCGUCAGCACCGGCGGCAGCGCGCGCACCGACAGCAAGCAGGCUGACACCAGCACUGCUCCACACAUGCCUGUGGGCCUAUCGCCCCAGUCGUCCAUGCUGUCGUCCCCCUCCGCCGUCUUACCCUCAGAGCCCAUGCCCACUCCAACGCUGACCUCAGCAUGCAGUCCGUGUGCGGCGUUGCUGACCACAGACGCGAUCCAGCCCUACCACCCGAACAGCUGCAGCAGGAGCACCACCAUGUUCUCGCCUGCUAUUGGCAUGAUCUCCAACCCGCGUCUGCGCCGCGGCGGAGGUGCCGCGGCGCGGCUCAGACGCGGCAGCAUCGGGACCAACGUCGGCGGCAAGGACGACGCUUGUGACUUCAACGGCGAUGCAGAAGAUGAGGACGAUAGCGCACUCGUACCCCUCGUCGCUGAGGUUUUGACGCUGCCAUCUACUGUGCUGCGCGCCUCAGCGGUGGAACCCGGCACUGCUGAGCCGCAGACACAGCUGCAGAACGGCCUGUGGGGGACGUCGCCGAUGAGUGUGAUGCCGUCUUGCAGUUCCUUCGCAGCUAUACCGCGGCAUCGCGACUAUCGCUGCAGUCGUCGAAGCCGCCAAGGGCGCGGCUUGUGGCCAUCCGCAGUAGAGGAUCCGGAGGAGUGGCUUGCGUCCGCAGCCCCGCGGCGCUACGUACGUGGGGUGGAGCUGCGGCCUCCAGCGGCUGUGUGGUUUCCUCGAGUUGCCGUAGACGAAGCUGCGCUUGCAGACAAGAAGCCGAGUGCCGACCAUGGCGUAUCACUGUCGCCGGACGCUGCAACGGUGCUGGAGCGCACGCCCGAUGUCGCAGCACAGCUUGUGCUAACCCGAGGUCCAGUGGGAGCUGUGCCGCACCCGCAGCUCGACAGUGUUGGCAGAGACGAGACGAAUGCACCCGCGGCCGCAACUGCUCACCGGGAAAGGCGCCGGAGCAGUUCCGCGGGCCCUUCGACGUCCUCGUCUGCCGCGCUGCAUGGCGCCAGCGACGGAGCUGGCCAGUACGCGCCAGAUCCGCUGCAGUGGUCGCGCCAGGUACUGCUGGUAGAAAACCUUAGCGCAGUUGUCGCUGCCGCGUUGCGCACUGCCAUGACCUGCGUGCUCAUGCGGCAUCGACCGCGCCAACACCCAUCGCCGCUGUCGUCACCCCUCCCCCUUGCCACGUCGACGAAGACUCCUGUAUCGCACUCAGAGAAAGCGCGUCAUGCAUCAGACGCCCUUGCUGAUCCCGCCACCGCGGCUGCUAAGAGGCAGGGCCUUCGUCCAGCCGCUUGCUCCAAGUCGGCUGCUGCAGCGGCCACACAGCGACGCACGAGAGUCGCAGCGUCUACGCCGGUGCUGCGUGUGCAUGUACCGGAUGUGGUUCGCAGUCCUCCUCCUCUGCCGCCCAAUCUUUUUGCCAUCCAAGAGUCAGAAUACGUGCCAGCACCCGAGCUGAUUCGUUCCUCUGCCGAUGAAGCCCGCGCGCUACGGCGACUGUGGCCUCCGCACCCCAGCGGUGCAGCUGCGGCGGACAAGGUUGAGGGAGAGCAGGUUGCAGGGGAACACCCUGGCUUGUCUCAUAGCCACAUAGCAGCAGCUGCUGAUGCGGGGGCGGCGGGCGCGGCGCAGCUGCGCGAGGCCUUGGCACGGCUAGAGGCGGCCGCGUCACCAACGACGACGCUGCGCAACACCCUCGACCCUUACCCUGCCGUCAGCGCAGCGGCGGAUAUCUGGGAAUUGGGUAUGAUGGCGCUUGAGCUUGCCGACGGCCAGCCGCCGAUGACGUGGUUGAAACAGCGCGAGCCAGCGCCGGCGUUGCGCACCUAUCCAUGGUCUUCCUACUUCCACGCGUUUGUAUCACUGUGCCUGCAGCGCAGCCCAGAGCAGCGCGGCACAGCGGCAGAGUUGCUGCGGCACCCGUGGUUCAGCGUGGCCCUGGUGCCGCAAGCCUCCUUACCGUCGUUGCCAACGGCCAGUCGAAGCAACGGCGGCGGCUGGUGCCAAGGCACAGCCGGCAGCGGUUCAGCCGGCGCGCCGGCCGAAUCAAGGAACUCGGCGACAGGUUUUCAGGGUGUCAAGGCGGGGGGGCCCGCGCCGGUGAGCCCGACAACACUGCCGCUAUUGCCGGUGCGUCCGCCAGGUGUCAUGGGCGUCGGCUGCUUGACUGCGGAGGAGAAGGCAGAGUGGGAGAACUACGACUACACGCUGCUCUACGCGUCUGCUGCGCAGUCGACUCGCCCGCUCACGACGAGCACCGCUGCGGCUACUGCAGCUGUGACCACAGCUGCAGAGAACCACCACCCCAGUGGCGACUCCAGCGUGCGACUAGAAUGCCCAUUGGCGCAUGGGACACAGGGAGCCGCAACAUCUGCGUCAGCGGUUACCGCGGGGGCGCGCAACAGCCGGGAAGCAAGCGCUGCGGACGCCAUGAGCGUCGGUGAAACACCAUCGUUUCUGGGGCAGAGUCUGCGUAGAACCGACGCGCCUUCACCGUCGCCCGCCGCUGCCGCCGCCGCGGUAGCGUCGCAGUCUUCCGCUCUCACCGUUUCUAGCCCUGGUGGCUGCACCGCUGUUGGGCUACCACCGGCUGUCGCUGCAUCCGCCAUCUCCGCCAAGGCCUCCGCAAACGACGAGCUGAUGACAUCAAUGUGCGCGGUCGACCUUGCACAAAACUUUGCAGAGCUCAUCGCUCAGCGAUGGGUAACGCAGCAGCAGCUGGUCCCGUCGCUGGCCACGGCGGCCGGCGCGCACGACGGGGCUGCGAAGGGAAGGCAGGCGAUGCCACCGUCUCAGCGCAACUUCUUCACUGCCGCUGCUGCGGCGACGUCUUUGGUCGGUGUCAGCCCUGUCCUCCUUUCUGUUAUCUCCCCUCGGCCCACCACCGCCGGUGCCGCUGCGGCGGCAGCCGCCUACAACGCAGCGUCGCCCCGAUCCUCGCCGUCGACAGCUGGCCAAGGCGCGGUUUCGCAGCAGCAGUCGGAGCUGUUGCGCUCGAAGAUCAGCCCUGAUGAGAUGAUGGUGCCAAUGUGGGGAGGGCACAGCACGACGUUCAGCAACAACACCUCGCUGAGUGGCCAACUGGCGGCGGUCCCUGUCAUAUCCCCGCGCGGCGCUCCGUCGCCGUUGCCGCUGCCAUCACCGGAGUUCGUCGGCAGAGGAGCGGGGCGACUGCUGCCGGCCUACCUGCCUACACUUUAUGCCCCGCUGCGUGACCCGCGGGGUGAUCCAAUGCUGACAGCGGCGAAUGCCUGGGCACUUCCGUGGACGGCAAGAAUGAUGGACGAGUGGGGCGGUGCAGCAGGCAUUCAGUCGCAGUCGCAGCAGGCACGGCCUUCCGCAGCGCGCGAUGCCGCACUGCCGUGGUUUCAGCUAAGCGCGCGCGUCGCAGCAGGGAGCUCGCAGCCGCCCAUGUAUCCCACCCCUCAGGCGUUGUCGCGCAAGGAUGGCAGCGUCAGUGGAGGUGGAGACGGUCGCCCGGUCCUGCACUGUGACCGCGGCGAUUCCGAUGGCAACGCUAGCACAGGCAGUGGCCGUAGCAGCAACUCACAGUAUCACGGUCGACACGCGCGAACGGCGUCUGGUAGCUCGAGCCAAAGUAGUAGCUCCAGCAGCACACGAAGCGACAGCGACAACGACCGGACUGCCAGCGGCGGGCUGCAGGUCGUGCGCGGUGGUACUCACAUCUACGCCAGUGAAGGCAGAUUUUAUGACGUUUACAUGCCCAAAGUGGGUGGUGAAGUGCCGGUCCCGACGCGAAAGCCGGCGCAGCACUUCAAUGACACCCUCAACACGGCGUCGCUGCCUCUCACCGACGACGCAGCUAGCCGCAGCGUCACCUUCAAGGUCGGCACAUCGGAGCAGCGCGCUGGUGGUGGCGACAACAUGAUGCUGAACGACCCCGCGCCGGACGGCGGCGCGGCUGCCGUGAAGGAGGGCGUCUCCUCCUCUUGCGCGGCUGCGCGAAAGCUUCGAAUGCCAGGUGGUGAUGGGCACUGGCCUCGACAUGGGCGACACGGCGGUUCCACUGGUAGAGGUGAUGAUGAUGAUUACGGCCCAGUACCCCGAGUGCCCUCGCCUUCCUCCUCUCGUUCAGCGCAUCAUCUCAACGGCACCAUCGCCACCGCGCUGGCACGCUUGUCGAUGAUGGCGUACCUUCCUUCUGACACUGACGGGAACUGGAGUGAGACCAGCAGCAGCAGCGCAAUCCGCAGCAGCAGCGAUAACGAAAACAGCACCAGAUCCAGCGACGGGUCCGAUUCUGCUACUUUGUCUCCGAUGUGGGGACCGCCAGUGUGUCAGUCGACUCCGCUCGAGUCGGACGAUAAGGCUGCUUACAUGCAAGGCUUCGCCAUCAGCGGUGAUGGCACCAGCUGUGAGGAGCCGGACGAGGACGAUGAUGGGCCGUCGAUGAGCGCGGAGGUGCGGUGCGAUGAGCUGCUUCGCUGCUUGUCGGCGCUGCAGCGCAACUGCCCGGUGGCAGUAAGUCUGUGGUGCGUCCGUGUGCUGCAGCAGGCGAUGCGGCACCCCUGGACGGCCGCGAGCGCGGCGCGGGUCCUGGAGCGAAUCGAGAGUCUUCUGCCUGAGGGGCGGGUGAGAAACCUCGACUGGCUCAAGCGACCGGACAGCUCGCCGUCGCCGUCGCCGUCCUCGCCUGACCCUCUGGGCACAGGCGACGCGCAACGCCGCGAGAGAGCAGCUGGCACAGCAGGAGACGGCAGCUCCUCUCUCUCUGCGGUGGGGGCUGCCGCCAGAGCGUCGUCUCGCUCCUCUGCCGGUGCACUGCCUCCCGCGGAGCUGGACGCGAGCCCCAGCACCUUCCAGAAUUACGAGAUGGCAAAGUGGAUACAUGCGCUGCAUCAGGUGCUUCCACGAUGCACAUAGCCUCACGGAUAGCGGCGUCGGGUACACAAGCACCGACGCCCGCACCCAUGGGGAUAGGCAACGCGCUCCUCCCUCAACUAUUUGCUCUGUUCCGACUGCUUUUCUUCUGUACGCCCGCUGUACGCGCGUGCCGGGAGGGGGGACCCCCUGCGGGGAGGAGCAUCGGCAAGGGCAUCGAU